UAUAUGGCAAAAAAGGUGAUCGGUAUUUUUGUAAGUGUCAACUAGUUACGAAUUUGUUGCACAUUUCUCAACAUGGCAAUGGGAAAGACAUCCAUCAAUUUGCUCUCCAUGGUUUUUAUGAUGCUUAUCACAAUAGGUAUUUGUCCCACUUUACUCUCAUUUAAAUGGAAAUCCUAGUUGAUGUAUGUUUGUAUGCUUAACAUAAAAAUAUUUUGUAUUUAAUGUUUGAAUUCUGAAUAAAAUAUUCAUGUUCACACAAUAUUAUUCCGAAAUAUCUAUGAACAAGGACUUCUUUAGGCAAAGGCAUAUCAAAACAUUAUUUUGAUUAUUUAUUUCAAGAUAUGAUCUAUCAAUUGAGAUUAUCCUUAUAGUGUCAUAGUGGCGAAGCUAGGAAUUUUAAUAAGGAAUUCAAAUAUGAAAAGGUAAAUAUACAAAGAAAUUAAGGGAAUUCAAUAUUUAUUAUAUAUACAUAAAAGAAUAAUUUUUACUCAAUAUAUAUUGUAUGAUAUAUUUUUCGGCAAAGGAAGUUUUAGUACCCCAUUCUGCCCCUAGCUCCGCCCAUGUGAUACGAAGUUUGAUAUUAAAGGUUAGUUGUUUUUGUUAUAGUUUCAUUAAAUCUUAUGUUUUCGAAGAUUUAUUCUAGUUAAAGGCUUGUAUGUCCCCAUAAUUAAUAAUAAGUGCAUACAGAUUAGAUCUCGGUUUAAAUAGUAUUCUAUGGGCUCAUUUGACACGAGGGAUAAAGAAUAAUUAAACCGAAAUGAAAUUUAAGAUAAAUUUAUUUAUAUUUGAUUGGGAUAAAACCGCUAUAACUAAUUGUGUGAUUAGACAUUCCCGUAUUAUAGUGUUAUAUUUAUCUCUACUGGAGCACGAAAUAACAAUCUCGAAAUAACUAAUUCCGAAAUAAUUAAUUCUGGCAUAACUUGUUUUUCCAGCAGACCUUAUAAGUUUGUCUUAGCAUUGGAAUAAAUUUUGAAUAUGAAUAGAAUGAAACAUGUACAUAUGAUUACUUAAAAGUAAAAAUUGUAGUACUUUUACUUUAUGAUGAAAAAUUGACUUUUAUUUGUUUAUAGGCUUACAGAGUGUGGAAGGUUCGGUAUUCAUAGGUGAACCAUGCAAAACAUCUAAAGAUUGCUUUGAUUUUUGCCGUGGCGCGACCCCCUUUUGCCAAAAUGGACACUGUAUUUGCGAGGUGCAGGAGGAGGCUAUUAGCAAUACUCAAGCAGGACCUAUUAGAAAAUUUUUGCAGCAUAAUUAGGAUUAUGUGACAAUACAUAAUAAAAACAAUUGUUCUAUUAAAAUUUUCUUUAGUUGCUGGUUAAAAAUAAUAAAGAUCUCAAAUAAUGAGUGACACAUUUG
rnacentral:lncRNA from 1 species